CUGACCUCGGAUCAGACGUGAAUACCCGCUGAACUUAAGCAUAUCACUAAGCGGAGGAAAAGAAACUAACAAGGAUUCCCUCAGUAAUGGCGAAUGAAGAGGGAAAAGCCCAGCACCGAAGCCUGUGGCUAUUUGGUCACUAGGCAAUGUGGUGUUCAGGUCGUUCCACGGAGAUGCUGCUCCACCCUAAGUCCAACAUUGAAUAUGGCUUGGACGUGGCCCAUAGAGGGUGAAAGGCCCGUGUGGGUGGAGGCUCGUUCGGCCAGUGUCUCUCUGGGUAGACCUUGGAGUCGGGUUGUUUGUGAAUGCAGCCCAAAGUGGGUGGUAAACUCCAUCCAAGGCUAAAUACAAGCACGAGUCCGAUAGCGAACAAGUACCGUGAGGGAAAGUUGAAAAGUACUUUGAAGAGAGAGUAAACAGUGCGUGAAACCGCUCAGAGGUAAACGGGUGGAGUUGAACUGCAAGCCUUGUGGAUUCAGCUGGUGAACAUGAUUUGAUCUUGGUUAUUGUGAUUGAGCUUCGGGGUCUGCGUAUUGGCAGGUCUCUGCCUUCGGGUGGGGAUGCGCGAUGCACCUACCAUGUGCUGUGCGCCUUGUUGCUUUCGAGUCUGUUUGCCAGUGCACUUUCGCAGGGUAUUCACCACGACCGGCGUUGUCGUCUGACUGUUGAUGUUAAACCGGCCUUGCAUUGUUUUCGGAUUUUGCUUGGUGGGGAUGGCAGGUAGCCUGUUGGUGACCGCAGCUUGCUGUGGUUGUCUUUGGGUGUAAUCAGCUGACUUCAAUGGUUCUGUGCGGUACGUCGGAGACGGCGGCUUGUUGUGUGUGCGCGCGUGCCGAUCUCGUGGGCAGGUUCGGGUCUGAUUGUCUUGUUGCUUGUCUAAAGGCAGGCCAGGCGGUGGCUCGGAUUUGUUCCGUGGGUGGUUGCGUGUGUGUCAUUUUGAAGGGCCAAUAGUCUGUGGUGUAGUGGUAGACGAUCCACCUGACCCGUCUUGAAACACGGACCAAGGAGAGUAACAUGUGCGCAAGUCAUUGGGCGUAACGAAACCCAUAGGCGAAGUGAAAGUAAAUGCUUGGCUUGUCCUUGCUGAGGUGAGAUCCUGUCGUUUCUCAUGCGCGGUAUUACCAAGCUUCGAGCGGCAGGCGCAUCACCGGCCCGUCUCAUGACGUUAGUACAUUGUGCAUCGUCGGGGCGGAGCAUGAGCGUACAUGUUGAGACCCGAAAGAUGAUGAACUAUGCUUGUGCAGGUUGAAGCCAGAGGAAACUCUGGUGGAGGACCGCAGCGAUUCUGACGUGCAAAUCGAUCGUCAAACAUGGGUAUAGGGGCGAAAGACUAAUCGAAUCAUCUAGUAGCUGGUUCCCUCCGAAGUUUCCCUCAGGAUAGCA
rnacentral:rRNA from 1 species